rnacentral:lncRNA from 1 species
AGACAUAACCUUGCCAUAAGCAGCAAAGGGCUUGGUGAACCCUCAAAAAGGCUGUCAAACACCCAGAGGCCUUGGGGAUCAGGAAGGAGCUAUCAUGUGGUCUUUCAUGUGAGUACAGAAUGUCCCAAGAGUGCUGCUUCAGUUCUUUAUUUUAAUUAUUUCUAAUUCUCAGAGGUUCUUCACUGUGAGUGAGAGUGCUAUGAAGGAGAUAUGUUUCCACAUGUAUCCUACGUGUAAUUCUUUUAUCCAUGUUUAUAUCAAACUAUUAAUAUACAUUUAUUGACCCCUCCAAUGAGCCAAGCACCACAGUGGGUGUUGUGGAGUAUUCAAAGGAUAGCAAAAUAAUAUUUGUCUUUCUAAGUUUGUGUUUUUCUUUUCUUUUUUCUUCUCUUUUUCUCGUCUUUCCUCUCUUCCUUUCUUUGUUCAUACAGAAAAUUGCAAAGAAUUAAAAGCCUCUAGAAUCUCUUUCUCUUUCUGAUGAGUUGGAAACAAGUAGUGAUUCUUAAUUUUUCUAUUAUUUAUUUUUUGUUCAUUUAUUAAUUAUUUAUUUAUUGAGACAGGGUGUUGCUCUCUUGCCCAGGCUGGAAGGCUGGAGUGCGGUGGCAUGAUCUCGGCUCACUGCAACCUCCGCCUCCCAGGUUCAAGUGAUUCUCAUGCCUCAGCCUCCUGAGCAGCUGGGAUUAUAGGCCUGUUACUUUAAUUUUAACUUUUCCUUUAACGUUUAAAUUUUGUAUAUUGUCAUGUGACAUUCUGGAGUGCUUGAAUUUAUUCCUGAAUCUACUUUUAUUCUUUAGCCAUAAAGCAAACCCAUUUUGUGUAUAGGUGCUGACCAAUAUGCACCAAUAUUAACUAUUCAAGGUUAAUAAUUUGUUUCAAGAUUGUGUUUGUACAUGUGUGUGUGUGUGUACACAUGAGAGGCAGUCUAGAAAAUUUCUAAGUAAUCAUUAAAAUAAUACGAGUAAAAUAGUGAUAAAGAGAAUUGUUUGGGGCUAUUUGUAGGGAAAGCAUUCUGCUUUGAUAGGUGAAGAGAGAGGUGAGCUCCUUAGAUGUGCUCUUCUUUAACUCUGCCCUCCUUAUUUGCAAACGUAUUUACAUGCACAAUUCAUCUCUCUUUUUCCUUUUAGUCUUUGAGAAUAAUGUGCAUUUGGUUCAAUUUCCUUUUACUAUCUUUAUAUUUUACUUCAUCAGUUAUCUUUUCUUUUCUCAACCUUCCAUCUCACCUCUCUGCUAGAAAAACCUAAUAGCUUAGAAACAUAAAUAAAUAAAUAUCCUGCAUCCUAAAUAAAAAUCCUUCCCCACACUAUUUUUAUACCAGUCUAUGUCCCAUCUUUCCUGUAUUUCUAUUUUUUUAUGAAUGUAGUAUUACGCUAUCUCUAUGUUAUUCUAUUCACUUUUCCAUAGACUGAAGUCUGGCUUUUACUGCCAUCACCUCAAUGAAAUUGCUCUUGAAGAAAAAUUGGGCAGAUGUUUCUGUUGCAUCUGGCAAUGGUAAUGACUUCCUUUAUUUAACGCUUCAAUCUCUGAGUUCCUUUACACCACUCUGCUGCUCUGUCUUUAACCAGCUUACAAUCUCUGAUCACUCUUUUUUGUCCUCUUUCACGACUUUUUCUGUCAUUUUUUAUUUCUUAAAUGUUGAUAUUCCUGACAUUCUGCCACUAUGUCUUCCAUUUUCUGUACUUCCUUGUGUUAAUCCACUUUCAGGAUUUUGACUGCCACCAGAAAAGAUGUGUACUUUAGUAAUCCUGGUGUUACUUUGCCAGUAAUGCUCCAUGCUAUCUCUCCAGCUCUGAAAUUUUCCCAGAACCAGUUCAUCAUCUCCACCUGAUUGUCCCUAUGGGAACUUGUAGCUCCAUGCACCACCCUAAAUCCUUUGGAGCAUGUUAGGGUAUUCCCCAUCUGCUGCUUCUCCCUGUAAUUGCCAACUUUGUCAGGAGUACACCAUUUACCUAGUCAUCCAAAAUAGAAACUGAGGCUUGAAGCUCAUCCUUGAAUUCCUCUUUUCCUUUGGCUUUUAUAUCCAGAUAAUCACCAUGUAAUGUGUACUUUCCCUCAAGGAACCCAAUUAAGUAAUAUUGAAUCAGUUUCUUCAUCCCCAUAACUACUCAUGCUACUUUAAUGCAGGCCCUAGACUAUUCCAGUAGUCUGCCAGCCUCUACAACUCUGUGCCCAAACUCAUCCUCUCACAGUGGACAGAAAAAUGCAUCCAAAUUUGAUUCUGAUUUUGUUACUUUCCUAACAAAAUUUGCCAGUGGUUCCACAUUAUUUGGUCUAUUUCUUUGUCAUUAUUUUACAUGACCACCUACCUCAUGCUUUGCUUUCCCACAAUACUGAAGGCCUUGUAAUUCCUCUCAUAUGCUAUAUUGUUUAUCCUGCCUCUGCCUUUGCUCAGGCUCUCCCCUUUGCUUGGAAUGUCCCUAUCCUCUUCACCUAGAUAACUCCUCCUAAUAAGAUUCUUUUUGAGGGUAACCUCUUCCAAGAAGCCUUCCUUGCUCCUUACCCAUACCUCUAAUUGGACUGGGUAACCGUCUCUCUACUUCCAUAGUAGACAUACGUCUUCACCAGAUUUGCCAUUUUAUAGUGUGAUUAUCUGCUGAUGUCUGUUAUUAAGUAAGAGGACUAUAUUUUUAUAUUUAUUUUUAUUCCCAAUGCUUUAAUUCAGUGUCUGUCAUGUAAUAGACACUAGAUAACUAAUUUUGUUAGGUGAGGGCUUCAUUCCAGUCUUAAAUUGUGAACAAAAUUUAGAUCAUUGCAACCAAAGGAGGAAUCUAAUAGAGAUAAGACUUUGAACUCAGAAUCAGACACAAAAAGAUCCAAAGCAGAUUUCUGAAGUUAGUGUGGAGCACGUACUAACUGGAGUGAGGUAGGGGUGUGUGUGUGUGUGUGUGUGUGUGUGUGUGUGUGUGUCUAUGGGGACAUCUGUAAGCAGAUUAGACAGAUCGAUUGGGGAAAAUAUGGUAGGCCAUUAGUACUGGCAUAUAUAUACAUUUUGGACAUUGCAGAAAACACUCAGGCAUUGUGAUUGAAUAAGGGAUCAACAUUAAAAGAAUCAUGUGUGGCUGGGUGUGGUGGCUCAUGCCUGUAAUCCCAGGACCUUGGGUGGCGAAGGCGGGCAGAUCACUUGAGGUCAGGAGUUCGAGACCAGCCUAAGCAACAUGGUGAAACCCCUGUCUCUACUAAAAAUACAAAAAUUAGCAGGGUAUGGUGGCAGGCACCUGUAAUCCCAGCUACUCAGGAGGCUGAGGCAAGAGAAUUACUUGAACCUUGGAGGCAGAGGUUGGAGUGGGCAGAGAUGGUGCCACUGUACUCCAACCUAGGCAACAGAACAAGAUUCUGUCUCAAAAAAGAAUAGUGUUUAGAAAAAACACUUUUAGCAAUACUGGGUUAAAGUCGAUUAAUAGAUUAGGGCUGGGAGCAGGGUAAGCAAUUAUAAAAAUCUAACAGUUCAGGAAUGAAAUGGUAAUGACCUGAGCUAGAAUAAUGGCAGUGAAAAUGCUGAGGAAGAAGUUUAUAUGAACACAUUCUGCCCCUCCUGCCCCCUCCCCCCAGAAAAAAAUUGCUAUGGUGGCUAAACGUCAAGUCUAGGGAGAGGACUGUGAGUUUAGGAAUAAUGUCUGUUUUGUUCAAAGCUCCUUCCUUACUGCUUAGCACUGAGCUUGGCACUCAGGUAUUGGUGAAUAAAUGGGUUUUAAGUGAAAUAAUUAAUGGAUAAGUAUUGAUAUAACUCUUUCACAUAUGUACAGUGCAUAUCUUCUUUGAGAGAAUACAGUGAAAUUUUUUGAGGGUUUGUUUUGUUUUUUUCGCCUCCACCAGCACCAUUGCAACAGUCUGAGUAAUGGAUUUAGAAUAAUGAUGUAAAGACAUAACUUCGCUGUAGUUGAAGUCAUUUUUAUUCGCUUUGAAUUGCUUCCCCAGAGUCCCAGGCCUUAGCGUAAUUAAUGCUACUGUUUUGAAAUCAGCUUUGGAACUUUGAUCUCAAGCUCUAAAUAUGUCCUUGUUGUAAACAAGCAAUACAUCUAAUAAUAACCAUAUCACCUGCUUAUCUAAAGGGUUUCAUGUGUGUUUAAUUAAUAAUUGAGAACAAAUGUCACCAUGGUUGCCUCAGUCUAGACAGGGGACAAUUAUAUCAUCUACUUAUUUUUUCUGCUUGAGAGAUAUAUAAAGCUUUCAGAGAAGCUUAUUAAGGAUUCAGGUAAUUAAACUUGUAUUUUUUUUGCACACUAACAACAAUUUAUAUUUGAAAACAAUUAGCAUGAGUUACUUGUGUGUUCAAAGAAUCAAUUUCACAAAAAACUUUUAUAAUGUACAAUGAUAUAUGUUCAGAGAUAUUAACUACAACCCUGUUAACAAUAAUAAAAGUCUGGAAAUUACUUAAAUAUCCAUCAUAAAUUAUGGUAGACAUUCUAGGCAGAAUUCUAAACAAUGAUUUUUUUAAAGAAAAUAAGUAAAUCUAUAUAUACUGUUACAGAAACAUGUGCAAGAUACAUUGUUAAGUGGAAAAAUUGCAAAAUUACAGAGCAGAAUAUUUAGUAGAAAGCAAUUCAUGUGAACAACAAUACACAUAAUGUAUUUGUGUGCACACAUGCACAUGCUUAUUACAACACUAGUUACACUAAGAUUACCUGGGGGGGACACACAUACACAUACACACACACAUACAUACACAUACAUUAUAACACCAGUUACAUUGAAAUCAGCUGGGAGGAUUCCUAAAAAAAAGUUAACGGUUAUUAAUUCUGGGGUUAUUUUAAGCAUUUUAAAACAUUUUUACAAUAAUUAUGUAUUAAUUGACAGAAGAUAGUAGACAAGUAACUUCUGCAUUUUCCAGGUUCUGUUGUGGCAUCUCCUUGCAUUUUAAUUUAUAGAAAUUAACAAUAAAGACAACUUGAAAAAAUACCUUUUUCUUUAGGUAUUUCUAAGGUUAAUAAGUAGUCAUUCAAAUGCAGGCAUUAUAGGGAUAAAACUAGCUUCACAUCACUUAGUGUCAAUUUAAAUACCAAUUAAUUAGAUAUAAAAAAGUAAACUCACAUACUCCCACUAUCUGUACUCAGGGAUGAUAUUAAAAAUAUUCAACAACCCAUAGGAUUCUAACCAAUCAGAAGAGGCACAGCUAUUAGUCAUGGAAGCGCAACCCUUUAGUUGGUGGAUCAAGAAAGAAUCUGAGGUGUUUGGAAGGUUCUAAGGUAGUCCAGGCUGCAGAGCUUGAGUGACAUAUUGGAAGUGUGGAAGGGCAAUUAUUUACCAACUAGUGUAUACUGUUUGUUGUAUUUUAACUAUUACCACAGCUCUGUGAGCCUGCCUAUUCUUGAACCUUAUUGGCCUCAGGGACUUUCCUUAAACAAACCGAAUACUGUAAUUAUAUACUUUCUUAUCUUUACACACACUGUUUCUUUUCCUUCCUAUUCUGUAACCAUCUUCCAUUCUCUACUUUCAAGUCUAUGCCAGUGAUCUCCCCUUCAACGUCUAUUUUUCAAACUCUAGUUCAAAUGUCACUCCCUCUGUGAAGUCUUUCAUGGUCUUGAUCCUUAUCUUAGUCCAUUCAGAAGACUAUAACAGAAUACCACAGAUGGGCAUCCUAUAAACAACAGAAAUUUAUUUCUCACAGUACUGUAAGGCUGGGAAGUCCAAGAUCAAGGGGCCAACAGAUUUGGUGUCUGGUGAGGGCCUGUUUCCUGGUUAACAGAUGGAUGGCUGAUACUUCUCACUGUGUUCUCACAAGAUGACAGGAGUGAGAGAGCUCGCUGAGACUUCCUUUAUGAAGACAGUCAUCCCUCUGAUCAGCUCUCGAAGACCUCACGUCCAAAUACCAUCACCUUAAGGGAAUAGAUUUCAGCGUAUGGAUACUAGGGGGAAGUAAACAUUCAGUCAAUAGCACUCUUCCUCCUUCCCCAGCAACGAUUACAAAGGAAACCACUCCCUCUGGUUGUGAGUUCCUAAAGAACUCUGUUUAUUCCAAUGUUGUGUUUCUUCUACUCCAUUGCAUAGUGCUAAAAUUGGGCUCUGUGAAAUCAUGAGUGUGUCUCACUAACGCUAUAUUCUUAGCAACUACCCUAGUGCCAAGGACAUAAUGGGUGCAUUUAUUACAUGAACAAAUUAGUAGUAAUAAAAGUAGCAGACAUGGUAGUAAUUGCAAUCUUCUUUAUGGUAGGUUCUAGUGCAUUACAUGUAGCAACUUGUUAAUCUUCACAAUAAACCAACUGUGCCACAAUUUUCACCAUUUAUCAAUUAACAAACUGAGACACCAAGGGAGUGAAAGACUUGUCCACAGUUUUCAGUCAUAAUGGCCGAGGCAAGAUUGGAUCCAGGCAGUGUGGCAGAGUUUAUGAGUGUUGGAGCCUGUAACUAAACAGACAUAUCCAAUUACUCAGAUGUCUUCAUGGCACUGGACAGGCAAGUAGUUCUCAGGUCCUAGAAAUCUUGUCACAUGAUGGAAAUCUGUGGUCACAAAGUAAUGUGUCAGUUCUUGAUAAACAGUUCUAUGAUGGAUAUUAAAUGCUACUCAGAAGGGAGAUAAUGAGUGUGUUCAUAGAGUACACAAACCAGGGUGAGAUGAAAUUCUACACUCUGUUAAUUUGCUAGCAAGAGGAUUUCAGAAUAUGUGUGUGUCAUAUUUAUGUACACAAACACACACACACAUCCUGUAUGAAUAUGUAUGGACAUAUAUGUGUAUGUUAAAAUAAUAUUAAAUGCAAUUAUCCCUCCAAUAGCCCAAUCAUGAGGGUUUAACCUAUAUGAAUGCAUCUACUCAUCAUAACAGCUUUCGGAAGUAGAUGCUAUUACUAUCUCCCUUUUACCCAGUUAGGAAAUUUGAAGCCCAAAGAAGUGACUUGUCCAAAGCCAUAGAGACAGGGAGCGAUAGAUCCAAGAUCUCCACCUAGCAACCUAAUUUUAUAGCCUAUUAAACUACCAUGCUAUUCCCUAUUUUAAAAAAAAUUAUAAGCAAUUAUCAAACAAUUAUUGUGUCAGGCACAGUUCUAAUGUGUAGUAACAGUUAAAAUGCAUUAUGUGAUACCAGGAAUUUUUAAAAAGCACUCAGCAAAUGUUGAAAUCCUUUGGGAUAGGUACUACUUUUACCCACAUUUUCAGAGAGAAAGCUGCAGCCCAGUGAAGUUAAGUAAAUUAAUCACCCCUACAAUAAAUUACAUAAGUAGGAAAUGAUAGAACUAUGAUUUAUAUUCCAGAAUCUGGCCACUCUUAAGCAUUUAAGCAUUACACUCCAAUGUCCAAUGUCUCAAUAGUAGGGCAAAUUUUCAGGGGUCAAUAUGGAAUCCUAACAUUUUAAGUUUGAAAAAUAAGUCAAGCACAAGGUAGGAAGCAGCUGAUAUCUGGCUGGCUGGCUGGAUGCUGAUGGGUGUCCCAGGGUAGCAUUACCUUUUUAAACAUCCUGAGAUACAGGAUCUGAACAUCAGUAAAAAAUUUUUUUCUUAUAUAUUUAUUGUGAUAUAUUUUAUGCAUUCAGAGAAUGUUUUAAAAAUAAUGUAAUGAUAAUCAAUGCACCCACCCUCCAACUCUGUUAAAUUUUAACAUGUUUACAUCUGUAUUAUAUAUUGUGUAGAGAGACACAGAUGUAGAUAUAGAUGUAGAAAAUGUAGAUAUUUAUACCUCCUUUCAGUGAAGCCCCCGGGGAGCUCUUCCUUUCUCACUCUUCAUACUUCCUCGUCUUAAGAUAGUAAUCCCUCUACUCGUUUCAUGUUUAUUAUUUCCAGGCAUUUCCCUAUAUGUUCUUUUUUAUGGCCACUACUUAUGUGUAUGCUUAUAAAUAAAAUGUGUAUUGCUUUUCAGGUUUUCAAAUAUUAUUUUGUAUUGUGCCAUAUUCCAUUACCUAAACCAUGCCUGACAUAGGAUAUGCACAUGAUAAAUAUUUUAGAGUGAAGAAUGAAUGGAUUUUUUUAAGGAUUUAGGUAAAAGUAACCCUAAUCUCUUCCUAUUAACUGGUAUAAUGUUCCGUUUUUAACAUAUGCCACAAAAAAUUUAUCUAAUAAAAAUUUAUAUUAAAUAUCAGUAAUAAAAGUUGUACAAAUUAUUUCUAAUUCUUACAUUGUGUGUUUCUUCUGCUUUACUUAAUGCAUUGAAAGCUUAUUUAUUCACUGUUGAAUAAAAUUAAAAAUGAUAGGCACCUUUAUCUUGCUUCCCACUUUAGAAGAAAACCAUUCUAAUAUUUUAUCUGUAAAAUUGUCAUUUGCUACUUAAUUUUGGUACAUAGCCCUUAUCAGUUUAAAAACUUCCCCAUCAGUUCCAGGGUGAUUACAGUUUUCACCACAAAGUGAUGCUAAAUAUUACCAAAUGCAAAUAUUUCUGUAUCCAUUGAGAUUUCAUAUACUUUUUUCUUUUUAUCUGUCUAUGUAGUAAAUUACAUUAAUAAAUUUUCUAGUAUUAUACCAUCCUUGCAUUCUUGAAGCAAACCUUACAUAGUUGUUAUGUACUAAUUUUUUAAUGUUAAAAUAUUAGAUUAUAUUUUAUUCAAAUAAAUUACAUUUUAUUUAUGACUUUUGAGUCUAUACUAAGUCAGGAAAGUGUAAUUUUUCUUUCUUUUGCCCUUUUCAUCCAAUUUUAGAAUCAAGUUUGUAACUGGCAUGCACAAGGUCUAACAAUAAAGUCCAAAAAUAUAGUGGCACAAACAACAUACAGGCAAUGAGUAGGCAUCUGGGCUUCAUAAGAGUAUCCAAUAAAACAAGGCUCUUUCUUCUAUUUUGUUGCUUAACCAUUUUCUAAAUUUUGUCAUUAUCUAAAAGAAAAAACUGGUUCACCCAUACCAAGCCUACACAUUUCAGCCCAUGAGGAUGGAGAAAAAGAAGAAAUUGAUGACAGAUUCUAUCAUCACAAAAGGAUGUGAUUUGGAAGUUGCAUGCAUCCAUUCAGAGCUUCUUGGCCAAAACAGUCAUAUUAACAAAACUAGCUGCCAACAUACUACAAAAUGAGGUCUGUAGUUGAGUUUCCAUGAUCAGCUAAAAUUCAAGAGAGAGAACAGGUAUUGGGGAUAAUUAGCAGGCUCUUUUACAGAAACAGAAUAGGGUUGAAUCCAGCUGUUCUUCAAAUAUGUGUGAGAAUACUUCUAAUUUUUUUUAAAGGGUAAAUAUUUAUCUAUCUAAUUACGUUAAAAAAUAAAUUUGUUAGAUAAUAUUUUUAUUAAUUUUUGGAUGUAUUGUCUUAGCAAACUAUCUAUUUUCUCUAAAUUUUCAAAUUUAUUGGCAUAAAAUUGUAUAUGAGUAAGAUUUUUUUAAGUGUUGACACAAUUGGAGUUAUUCUUCUCUUUAUUUAUAAUAUUGUUAAUUUGUUUUAUCUUCUUUUUUAUGAUUAGACUCGCCAGCAUUUUAUCAAUUUUAUUACUUUUUAAGACAAUUAUAUUAUGAUUGUCUUUUUCCCAUUUUACAUUUUUAUUUUAUUGCUUUUCUUUUUAGGUUAUUAAUUUCUGUUCUUUAUUAUGUCAUUACUUCUAUCUUUUAAUUUAGUCUAUUGUUUUUCUAAGUUCUUGCACUGAUAUAUAAUUUGAAUAUUCAGUUAAUUGUUUUUCAAGUUUGUUUCAAGUAUUUGCACAAAAAGCUAACAAUUUCCUUUUAAGUGCCAGUUUGAUUUUAUUUCACAAAUGUUAAUAUAAAACAUUUUAUUUGUCAUUAGUUCUACAUGUUUUCUAAGUUCCAUCAUAAUUUCUUAUUUGACCUAUGAGUUCUUUAGAAGAGUUUUCAACUCUCUGAAUGUGUAUCUCCUAUUUAUUUAAAAUUUAAUUUUAUUGUGAUCAGAGAACAUGGUAUUUUGAUGAUUUCUUUAUGUGUCAACUGGGCCAUGGGCAGAUAUUUGGUCAAGCUUUAUUCUGGGUGUUUCUGUGAGGGUGUUUUGGAUGAGAUUAACAAUUAAAUUAAUAGUCUGGAUAAAACAGAUUAAGUUUUAUAAUGUGAGUGCACCUCAUCCAAUUAGUAGAAGGCCUAAAUAAAACAAAUGUCUGACCUUUCCACAGCUAAGAGAGAAUUGUCCUGCCUGAUGGGCUUCAAACCACCAGAACAUCAGUUCUUCCUGGUUCUGCAGUAGUCUCCAACCUUCAGACUCAAACUUCAGCACCUGUUCUUCAGAUUUUGGACUUGCAGCCUCUAUAAUCACAUGAGCCAAUUCCUUAUAUAAAUUUAUUUAUACAUGCUGACAGUUGGUUCUGUUUCUCUGGAUAACCCUGACUGUUAGAGCUGUUACCUCAAAUUUGUUUUCUUAUAUUUGGUGUCUGUUUUGGAGUACUUACAAGUGCUUAAAAUGUUCUUUUUCAAUUAGGUGAGUCUCAGUCUCUAAGAUAAUUUUUUUAUUGUUCUAUUUUAUAGAUUACAUGUUAAUGUCAAUUAAGCUAUAAACAUUUUAUUGCUGAUACAUUAUCAAAAUGCUUUUCAAACAGCCAUUUCCAACAGUCUAUUCUUUGGCAAAAAAACAAUGCCAUUCUCUUGCCAUGGCCAAAUGUGAGUGCUACUAACAGGUAAACUCUUAAUUUGUAAGUGAGGCUGAAAUCUUAAAAUGCCUUCCUGAAACUUAUACAUGAUUGAUUUUGUUUAUUUGUGUAAUUUCUUUGUUCUAUGGUUUCAGCUUCAAUUGCUGAGAAAAUGUCAAGAUUAUUUCCUGAGAAUUUCCUUUGUGGCUAAGACAAAGGAGAAGUUUUAAUUUUACUAGAAACUGUGAAACGAGGCUUUUAAAAAGUUUCAUUAAAAAAAAAAUUAGGGAAGAAUAGGCAUAUUCAGAAAACCUACUUUCAUUUAGGCUGGAUUGGUAAAAAAAAAAAAAAAAGAAUCCUCCCUUAUGGCAACUAAGGCAUGAAAUAAUGCAAUGUAAUUUUGUGAAUUAAAUGCAUGGGAUCUGGAGUUCCCUUGGCUGGUUCAAAUCUCAGCUCCACCUAUUACUGGCUGUAUGACCUUGAGCUUGCUACUUAACCUCUCAGGGUUUUACAUAUGAAAAUGGAGUGUAAUAAAAGUGCCUCCCUCAUAGUAAAACUGAAAUAACGUAUGGAAAGUCUUUACAAGUCCGUAUCAUAGGACUUGUCAAAAUACUUUCAUUAGGUAUUAUUAUUAUUUGCCUGAUAAUUAAUGUAUCCUAUUUUAAAAUGCAUUGAUAGGACUUAAUUUGGUUCAUUAGAAUAGAACAGAUUUUGAUGCUGUUUGAAUACAUUCUAAAAAUAAAACAAAAUCAGCGGGAGAUACGUUCGACCAUUCUGUGAAUGAGUCUCCAUAUUCUAUAAGAAGAGGAAAAAUCAUAUCACGCAAAUUGCAGUAUACGUUAUGGAGGAAAAAAAUGCACUUGUUUUCCUAUUCAUUUUAUAACGUCCCUGUUAGUCUCAUUUAGAAGGAAAAGCUGAAGUUUAGAAUUGUGAAAAACUCAUGGUUGCUUCACAACUUGAACUCAGUUGAAGAGCGUGGUAUGUGAGACAGGCAUAAUCAUCUCACAAACUUAUAUUCAACAAAUAUUUAUUGAAUAACUACUAUGUGCCUGGCACAGUAAAAUUUGAUUCCAUUAUAUGUCAGUCAGUCAAGUUCUCUUUUGUAGCCUCAAACUGUACAAUGAACUAAAACCAGAAAAUUCACAAAUAGAAGCUUUUCAUAACAAAAUUGACCAGGAAACAGAAUGGCAUCUCUUUUGAACAACUGACUGACCCAUAACAGCCUAUAAAAUCCUUAAGUCAGCAGGGUGCAGUAGCAUGUGCCUAUAGUCCCAGCUACUUGGGAGACUGAGGCAGUAGGAUAACUUGAGCCCAGAAGCUUGAGGCUAUAGUGUGCUAUUAUCACACCUGUGAAUACUCACGGCACUCCAGCCUGGGAAGCAUAGUGAGAUCCUGUCUCUUAAAAAAAACAAAACAAAACAAAACAAAAAAAACUGUAAGUCUUCUUACCCAGAAAUAAAACAAAACAAGUUCCUUUUUUUUAAACAGAAAAUAAGUCUGUUUAGUGCUAUUAAACAAUCAAAUAGCCUCCCCUUUUUUCUGUGUUUGCGAUGACAUUUUCACCAUUACCUUCUGUUUCAUAAUGCAUGUGAAGGAACUUUGUGCUCUUCAGAUAUUGUUUGUCUAUAAGUGCAGUCCCACCCAGUGAGUGCCAAAUCUUACUGGACACCACCACUUAGAAGUCCCUCUGUUACCUUAACUUCUAAAAUCCCAAAACUAAACUUGUUUCCUCCGAAAUCUGCUCUGUUUCUGUGUUCCUUAUUUCAGUUAAUUGUACCUGUACAUUCAACUGCCUAAGGAACAGAUUUCAUCACUGAUUAGGACCUCUGGAAACCCUAAAUAUGGAGAAAAUAAUGAUGCAGCCCCUACUCCCACUAAGCACACGUACUUUACAAACUAUUCAUAGAAUCAGUAUAAAGUCUAACAAAAAUCUGAUUUUUCCCAUGAUGACAACUUUAACAUCUUCGAACUCUAAAAUGUUGAAUUAUUCAAAAACUAUUUCAGUAGCUCCAUUUGCAGGCAGCCUCAGUGUCUACUGAGAAACCCAACAUUGCUGGACUUCAUAUCCAAUGCAACUGCCUCCUUGACAGCUGCCUGAGCCUCCUUAUUGGUGUCUCUACCUAUACCUUUCUCACCUCAAGUCUGCCCUUCACAGUGUUGUCAGAGUCAUCUCCGCAAAAGCAGACCUGAUUAUGUUAUUUCUCUUCAUAAAACUCUUAACUUCUUAGCAGGACACUCAAGGCCCUUCCAAAAUUAGCAACAACAUACCAUUCUUGGAUCAUUUCCAGAUGCUUCCCUCUUGCCCUGUCUCUUCCCCCCAGAUCUCUAACCACAGCACUCACCACAGAUGCCACAUAAUUUCCUAUCUCCUGAAUUCUUGUUACUUUCUUUACCUAUUCCCGUUUCCCUUUCAUUGGUAUUGUUUUCUCAUUUCAAUAAUUUGCUAAAAUUACUUUUAGUUAUUCAAUACCUUAACUGAAUGUCUCUGUUUAAAUCACUUCUAACCACUCACAUUCACAGUGGAAGUAACUGCCUUUUUCGACUUUCUAUGUAAGUUGGUUUUUAAACACAUAAAGCCCGAAUACCUUGUUUUGUGAUUAGAGCCCAUUUUUCUGCUACCUCUGAGUCCUUUUAAGGACAAGAACCGUGUCUAACCGUCCACCCCUUCCUCCUUUCCAGGUCCUGUAGAACAUAGCUGCGCCUGGAAUUGAAUGAUCGUGUUUUCCGUGCAGAGCUAUCUGCCUUUGGACAGGAGGAGAACUCUCAGCACCAUUCCCUUUCCACGGGAGCUUCUUUUUUCUCAUUCUUUUUCUUGCCUCCCUCAACUCCCAUCCUCUGUUCUGGGAGAAGGUGAAGCUGGCCUGACAGGCCUGAGGGAAGCCGGACGGAGGCACACUUGCCAGCUUUUAGUUGAGGGAGGCACCGCAGCAAGGCUCUCCAGUCCCUCCUUCCCUGGGAGCACCAGCUCUGAUUCUAGUGGGCAGCUGCAGCUAAGACGAAGACAAAUGAAUCCAGAGACUUCUCUCGAGCUAUGAGCCUGAGCCAAAGGCACAGCCCAGCUGUCCAGAGAGCUUUGUGACAGAACAUGGGGGGCCAGCUGACAGGAACCGAGGCACUUUUAAAUUUAGCACUUGUCCUCGCCCUUUCGGUUCACGAUUUCUUGGAAGUUUCAUUUGGAAAAAGAGGUGAGGGACAGAAGUAGAAGUUGGGAAUUCUAGAUCCCUUGAUUCUAGAAUAUUCUAAGAUCUUCCAAACUAACCCUGAUUCCUAAAAACAGAAUAGGACAAUCUUGUUUUCGGUAUUGAGAAUAGCAAAUAUAGAAAUCCCUUAAUUCUUUGACUUAGCUUAGCAGGUGCAAUUAGUUCUAUCCCUAAGCCUUCUUACCAGAAAAUUUUCUAGUGUAAAAUGAUUGGAUGGGAUACCAAUUGGGAUGGGUGUGGUAAUAGUAAAACCAUAUUCUUUAAUAACUUUUUCUUAUUUGUUUUCCUGGAAUUUUGGUUGGCAUUUUUUAAUGAAUUACAUGCUUAUUUUUAAAAAUUAUUAUGAUGGAGAAUUUUUGUUAGGCAGAAUUUCAAAUCUGUCAUCUGCUGUUGACUCUUACUUUCACUACAAAUUUACGAAGGUAGAGAGACCCAGUUCUUACUUAAGUUAUAUCUAACAUAAAAAUACAAUUCUGUCCCAAUCUGUUCAUUUAAAGGGUAAAUUUAUAGCAUCUGUUCAACUUUAUAUGCUAUCUCAAAAUUGUCAACAUUUUAAGCAAGGUGCUACCUAAUUUUAAUGGGUGCACAAGAGGGAAAAGUGGGUCAUUGACUUCAAAGGCGAAACUAUAAGCUAUUAAUGGGCUACGUUGUGCUGAAUUACAAUCUCUUUUCUUGUUUCAAGUUAAAAUUUUUAAGUGGCCACAUGUUUGGCAUUGUAAUUGAUACCACAAUGCUGCUGUUCCUUGACUCAUUCAUUCUCAAAUGUAUAUAUAUAUAUAUUCUUAGUUCACAAAUUUCUAUUUCUUUUACACAAGUUGCUAUUUCUUGUAGUGUUCAUGAACUGGGUAUGCUGUCCUUUGUAAUGAAAGACUACAGACUGCCAUGAAUAGUACCUUGGCUUCUUUUUUUACAGUGUGGAAUGAGAGCAUUUAUUAUUGUUGCAUUAUUGUAUUUUUGAAUAAAAAUCCCUAUUCCCACUGUACCAAAUCAAAUGAGCUUGUGUUGAAUUUUAUUCAUCAGAAUUGUGGUUAAUGCAGUCCUCAGCUAUGGCACUAGUUAGGGCCUGCCCAGGACUGCUGAAGAGCUGGCUUUGUGAUUUACCUGGCUCAGUAUGUGAUCAAGCAUCUCCAUUAUUGGAAUAAAAUAAAAACUUUCAAGAUCAUGGUUGUGCAAUAGAGAAAACAAUUUUACCUCUGCACUAACACUCAAAUGCUACACUAAUCUACAGUAAUUCUGUUAUUGCAUUUGGAAGCAAUUCCUUCUAUUCAUUCAGAGAUAACUGUUACAAUACAAUAGGCUGCCUCCUGCCUUUUCCCCUCAGUGAGCAAAAUAUGCUGUUCAUUGCAAAGUAACCUAACAGUAGUAGGUUUACGUGUUUGUUUCUAUGUGAAUUAACGUGUGCAUGAAGACCAUCAGGAGGCUUGGUUUGUAUUAUGAGGCUAUAGGAAAACAUGUACAUAGGCUACAGGACAUUCCAACAAAAUGUGCACGGGGAGGAGAUUAUGGCCUUCCUCAGAUUUUAGUGAAAAAUCUAAUAAAAGAUUCUUUGCCUCUAGUAGUCCCACCAGUGCAACUCUGGCUCAAGAAUUGAGCAGCCUGGAUGGUUUCAGUAUCAUUAUGUAAAGGAAAUUAUUUGUUAAACAAAUAUUGCACUUUCGUUCUCUAUGUACCACUAUGGAUUUGACUCACUGAUUUUUCUCUUUGUGUCUUAAGUUUAAACCUUGCUUCCGGAUUUAAAUCAAUCACUCUAGGUAGAAGAAAAUUAAUUUUGUAUAAGAAAAUGACCAAAAGUCCCUUGCUACUUCCCAUUCUUAAUUGGAAUGUUUGAUGUUAACAUUUAUACACCAAAAAACACUCCCUUCCAUGCCUGCCUGUAAACUGAUACUUAAUAAUUUCAAACUAUAUCCUUACUGUCCACCUAGAAUGAGGAACAGAUAGUAGUUUAAUAGAUGACAACAAAUAUGAGAUACAUAUAUUAAUUUACCAGUGCUUCUAUUUUUCUUUUAUCAUCAUGUUUUUCUAAUUUUCUGUUUUCUCCAUCUUCUCUGCCAACUCCAUUAUGGGAUGCUUUCUUUUAAAAUACGAUUGGCCACUCUGACCUUUACUCUAAUUAAACAAAGCAGAUCAUCUAGAAGUGACAGAUUAUUUUACAGUUGGCAUCAUUGGGUCUCUUAGUUAAAAAUCCCUGUUACAUGUUAAACAUUUAGGCUCGGAAUGUGAUUCCUGUCACUGAAUGGUGUCAACUUUCACACAAACAAGCUAAAAUAAACACGAACGAUGUAAAGCUUAUAGCUAGAGAAAUCAACAGUAUCUGGGGAAUGUAAAAAAGGAGGAAUUGAGUAUCCACAGCCAAAAGAAUUCAAGGCAUGAAAAUCCCAGGCUAAUCACCCUAGACAUCUUUGCUUGAUUUGAUUAAAACAUAUGUUUUGAAUGAUGCUUCGAUUUAAAAAUAGUAGCAAGUCAAAGUACAACUCAAUGCCUCUCGAAGUUGGGGAAAUGAGGUCACAAUAAUUACUCAAAAAGAGCCAGUGGAGGAUAAAAGUGCCUACUUUUCCGUCCCUACCUUUGACUUUCCUAAGAGUGUCAUGGCAUGUAAUAGCAGUUUCUGAAGUGAGAUGACAUCACCAUAUUUAAUGCAACAAAAAGGGAAGGGGUUUUGCAUACAUUUACAAUAAUAAGGAUAGUGUGUUUAUUUUGUAUGCAAUGUGAAACCAAAGAACAUUACUGACUUUUAGAGGCUUUGUUUUAUAGGAUAAAAACAAUCAGAUUUCUUUCCUGUCUGUAUGAGUAUCUUAAAUCCUUCAAUUUUGCUGCAAAGCUUUAGAUUAAGUGCUGAGUGACAUCCAUGUGCCAAAAGUUGUGCCAUAUUAAUAUUCAAAGAAAGAACAAAGUAAUGAGACUUAAUGUAAGUAUUAAAAAUAUUCUGUGUGCGUAUCCUUUUUUAAUGUUAUUCACACAUAACCAAAAUACAUUUCCCUAUCCUUUAGUAGUAGUGGCUGUUUCUUUGCAUAUAUCUUUAUACGUAAUUUCCCUUUUUCUUUUAAGACUAUGGUUCUAAAAGGAGAGGUAAAGGAGGUCCAAAGUUAUGAGAACAGAAGUAAAUACAUGGAGGUAGAAUGUGGUGCGGUAAGCUAGCAAAUUGUGUAAUAUGCCACACAGGCUUCUAUCCUAAAUGCCUGACAUUCUUCCUUUUGAACACCUCUUGUACAAAUGAAAGAGAGCAGGAGAGACAGGAUCUUCUCUUUAGGAAUACCAUUACAAUGCUUGGCUCAAUUUCCUGCCUCCCCCUUUUCACCCCACCCCAACUUUCUAGUUAGGAAAGUUGUAGCUUUUAAGUCAUGCUUGAAUACUCAAGGAGACAAGUUCAGAGGAUUCUCUUGUGACUUUGUAGCUUCUCAGCUUGAGCUGAUAUUAGGUAUCCCUGACUGCUGUCAGCCUUAGAAGAUCCGUCAUCCAGUCCUCACCUCCUGGAUGAAACGCCAUUGGGUGUAGCUUUGAAAACCACAUUGCUUUAUGUUCUCAACAUUGGACUUGCUCCCCACACAUGGCUGUCAGCAUUAUGCUCAUUCUCUGAAAACCACGUAUUCUAAAGGAUUUCUCACUAACAUGAAGGCCCAAAGCAAUGAACAAUAUUAAAAAUGUUGCUUUUCCUACCUUUAUAGGUGUCACUGCAUAUGUAAAUAUAACUUUCCUAACAAAAUUUUUUGAGGGAACCAUCUGAAAUAAUAUGGAAAUGUUCAUAUGAGAUCAUAUGUUGAGCCCCUUUUCUUUUCCUCUGGUAUUUUGACAUCAAUAUCCAAAGUAAAUCUAUACUUUUUAAUUCAGUUUAUUAAUUCAG